UUCUUUCAUUUGUUCCUGAGAUACCUUGGAUGAUUUCUUCUUUUUCUAAGAAUAACAAUUGAACGUUUCUUAUCUUAUGAACGCACAAUAAUUUCACGGAGUUAAUUAUAUAAAUAAUUAAGAAACAAUAUUUAUAUUACUUUUUUCUCUUGAUUCUCUAAUAAUUUCUCUUUCUUAUCAGGUUCAAGCAUUUUUUUUUAAUUUCUCUGUCCUAAACUGAACUAUGCAGAAAUAAUUAAAUUUUAAUUAUUACGAUAACACAAAAACUUUAAUAUAGUUGAUGAGAUCUAUAAUAACUACUAUUAAUUAAUCCAUACUAUCAUGUAUUUUCAUACUGUUCAGAAAUUAGCAGGACACGCUCUUUUAUAGAUUUAAGAUAGGCCCCCUCCAUGGGUGCUGGUACCAUUUCCAGUAAGAUCAUUUUGGAUGUCACAAAAUAUAUUUUCUCAAGAAUAUCGUUUAAUAUGCUGAGAUAUGAUAAUCUUCACUUAUUAUGAAUUAUUAUCGAUAAAAAAUUGAAACCACAUUGUUUAUAAAGAGAUUAGAAGAAACAACAACUAUUAUUGAUGAUAUUUUUUGUAAUUAAUUUUAAUUAACGCAAAAAUUAAGAAACCUUACAAGCCAAAUGUAAAGUGCGUCAUUUGGCACAAGUGCUUCAUUGGGAUUUCCGGUUUUCCACCUGUCUUUAUGGCAACAUCUAUGUGUCAUUUUGAUUUCAACGGUACAACCGCUCCAUUCCAUCUGCACCCACUACGAGGAAUACUUCGAUCAUCAGAUUAUCGUCUUGGUUUGUUGUUAACGCAACGAGGAAAUCAGCUUAAUAUCAUCAUCUUUGCGGUGACAAAUUUGCUUACAAAAGACGCAGACAACGCUAAGAGUGAAGAUAAAUAGCAGAUACAUUAUAUUCCGAAGCUAAUCAUUUAUAAGAGAAACGAAAGUGGCACUAAAGUAUCAAAUGGCGAACGGCCAAGAGCCUAACGGAGACCACUCUUGCACUCCAUUAACACAAUCCGCGGACAUGGAGGCUGCAAGCUGCACCCCAUUCAUCGAUACGUCACUUGGCAUAUCAUUUACGGCACACUCCGCGUAAUCCAUCGAUCGAUCAUCCUCAUGAGAUCCAACGUUGUAGUACGAUACGUUUUGGCAUAGAACCUUCGACCACUAAUCAAGCUAUCACGUCCAGACGACAUGUUGCGUACUUUUCUUGAUCUUCCCGUAAGAUAGAAAUACAAGUAUACAAGUAUGAAUAUUAUGCUUCGCGAGAAAUUCCAUGAAAGAUCGUCGUUUUCUUUGUCUGUUCGCGGUUAAGUAUUACGAGCAGAUAAUGGUACCGCGUUAACAACACUGGUACCU
rnacentral:lncRNA from 1 species